GUUUAUGGUCAUACCCCCCCCUGAAUACGCCUGAUGUCAUCUGAGCUUAGAAGCUACGCAGGGUUGGGCCUGGUUAGUUCUUGGAUUAAGUCAAGGAAAAUCCGUAUUCAAUCAACC
rnacentral:rRNA from 1 species